UGGAUCCAGACUUUGAUCCUGGCUCAGGAUGAACGCUAGCUACAGGCUUAACACAUGCAAGUCGAGGGGAAACGACACCGAAAGCUUGCUUUUGAUGGGCGUCGACCGGCGCACGGGUGAGUAACGCGUAUCCAACCUGCCCACCACUUGGGGAUAACCUUGCGAAAGUAAGACUAAUACCCAAUGACGUCUCUAGAAGACAUCUGAAAGAGAUUAGAGAUUUAUCGGUGAUGGAUGGGGAUGCGUCUGAUUAGCUUGUUGGCGGGGUAACGGCCCACCAAGGCGACGAUCAGUAGGGGUUCUGAGAGGAAGGUCCCCCACAUUGGAACUGAGACACGGUCCAAACUCCUACGGGAGGCAGCAGUGAGGAAUAUUGGUCAAUGGACGAGAGUCUGAACCAGCCAAGUAGCGUGCAGGAAGACGGCCCUAUGGGUUGUAAACUGCUUUUAUAAGGGAAUAAAGUGAGAGUCGUGACUCUUUUUGCAUGUACCUUAUGAAUAAGGACCGGCUAAUUCCGUGCCAGCAGCCGCGGUAAUACGGAAGGUCCGGGCGUUAUCCGGAUUUAUUGGGUUUAAAGGGAGCGUAGGCCGGAGAUUAAGCGUGUUGUGAAAUGUAGGCGCUCAACGUCUGCACUGCAGCGCGAACUGGUUUCCUUGAGUACGCACAAAGUGGGCGGAAUUCGUGGUGUAGCGGUGAAAUGCUUAGAUAUCACGAAGAACUCCGAUUGCGAAGGCAGCUCACUGGAGCGCAACUGACGCUGAAGCUCGAAAGUGCGGGUAUCGAACAGGAUUAGAUACCCUGGUAGUCCGCACGGUAAACGAUGGAUGCCCGCUGUUGGUCUGAAUAGGUCAGCGGCCAAGCGAAAGCAUUAAGCAUCCCACCUGGGGAGUACGCCGGCAACGGUGCAACUCAAAGGAAUUGACGGA
rnacentral:rRNA from 1 species